rnacentral:rRNA from 1 species
CGGCAGCCCGAGUGGUGAUCACUAUUAUUGGGUCUAAAGGGUCCGUAGCCGGUUUAAUCAGUCUUCUGGGAAAUCUAAUCGCUUAACUAUUAGGCUUCCAGGGGAUACUGUUAGACUUGGGACCGGGAGAGGUAAGAGGUACUGCAGGGGUAGGAGUGAAAUCUUGUAAUCCCUGUGAGACCACCAGUGGCGAAGGCGUCUUACCAGAACGGGUCCGACGGUGAGGGACGAAAGCUGGGGGCACGAACCGGAUUAGAUACCCGGGUAGUCCCAGCUGUAAACGAUGCUCGUUAGGUGUCAGGAACGGUGCGACUGUUUCUGGUGCCGAAGGGAAGCCGUGAAACGAGCCACCUGGGAAGUACGGCCGCAAGGCUGAAACUUAAAGGAAUUGGCGGGGGAGCACUACAACGGGUGGAGCCUGCGGUUUAAUUGGACUCAACGCCGGAAAACUCACCGGGGGCGACAGCAAUAUGUAGGUCAGGUUAAAGGUCUUACCUGAAUCGCUGAGAGGAGGUGCAUGGCCGUCGUCAGUUCGUACUGUGAAGCAUCCUGUUAAGUCAGGCAACGAGCAAGACCCGUGCCCACUGUUACCAGCAUAUCCUUUAUGGAUGAUGGGGACUCUGUGGGGACCGCUGCUGCUAAAGCAGAGGAAGGUGCGGGCUACGGUAGGUCAGUAUGCCCCGAAUCUCCCGGGCUACACGCGGGCUACAAUGGUUGGGACGAUGGGUAUCUACUCCGAAAGGAGUUGGCAAUCUCUUAAACCCAAUCGUAGUUCGAAUUGAGGGCUGUAACUCGCCCUCAUGAAGCUGGAAUCCGUAGUAAUCGCGUUUCAACAUA